rnacentral:tRNA from 1 species
GGCUGUAUAGUGUAGUGGUUUAGCACUCGGGAUUUUGACGACAAAAUCUUCCCGCAACCUGGGUUCGAGCCCCAGUACGGCCU